rnacentral:rRNA from 1 species
GAUGAACGCUAGCUACAGGCUUAACACAUGCAAGUCGAGGGGAAACGACAUCGAAAGCUUGCUUUUGAUUUGCGUCGACCGGCGCACGGGUGAGUAACGCGUAUCCCACCUGCCCAUCACUUGGGAAUAACCUUCCGAAAGUAAUACUAAUACCUAAUGACAUCCCCCGAAUACAUCUGAAUGGGAUUAAAUAUUUAUCGGUGAUGGAUGGGUAUGCGUCUGAUUAGCUUGUUGGCGGGGUAACGGCCCACCAAGGCAACGAUCAGUAGGGGUGCUGAGAGGAAGGUACCCCAGAUUGGAACUGAGACACAGACCAAAAUCGUACGGGAGGGAGGAGUGAGGAAUAUUGGUCAAGAGGCGAGGGCCUGAACCAGCCAAGUAGCGGGCAGAAUGACGGGCAUAUGGGUUGUAAACUGCUUUGAUAAGGGAAUAAAGUGGGUCACGUGAGACUUUUUGAAGGUACCUUAUGAAUAAGGAACGGCUAAUUCCGUG